rnacentral:rRNA from 1 species
UUCCCCUAGUAACGGCGAGUGAAGAGGGAAAAGCCCAAGAUUGAAAGCUGGCGCCUUCGGCGUCCGCAUUGUAAUCUCAAGAAGUGUUUUCCGCUUCGGACCAAGCCUAAGUUUCCUGGAAAGGAGCAUCGUAGAGGGUGAAAAUCCCGUACAUGGUUUGGAGCGCCCGAAGCUUUGUGAUACAUUUUCUAAGAGUCGAGUUGUUUGGGAAUGCAGCUCAAAAUGGGUGGUAAAUGCCAUCUAAGGCUAAAUAUUGGGGAGAGACCGAUAGCGAACAAGUACAGUGAUGGAAAGAUGAAAAGAACUUUGAAAAGAGAGUUAAACAGUACGUGAAAUUGCCAAAAGGGAAGGGUAGGAGGUCAGAGAUGCGACUUGGGAUUCAGCCUUGCUUUUGCUUGGUGUAUUUCCCAAGUCGCAGGCCAACGUCGGUUUUGGGCACUGGAGAAGGGUAAGAGGAAUGUGGCACUCUUCGGAGUGUGUUAUAGCCUCUUACUGGAUGCAGCGACUGAGACCGAGGAAUGCAGCGUACUCGUAAGAGCGGGCCUUCGGGCACCUUUACGCUUAGGGCGUUGGCAUAAUGGCCUUC